UCUGGAAACCAUAGAGCUGUGGCACCACCUGAUCCCAUUCCGAACUCAGAAGUGAAACACAGUAUCGCCGAUGGUAGUGUGGGGUCUCCCCAUGUGAGAGUAGGUCAUUUCCAGGC
rfam:Shewanella denitrificans OS217, complete genome.